rnacentral:rRNA from 1 species
UAGGGAAUCUUCCACAAUGGGCGAAAGCCUGAUGGAGCAACGCCGCGUGUGUGAUGAAGGCUUUCGGGUCGUAAAGCUCUGUUGUUAAAGAAGAACACGUAUGAGAGUAACUGUUCAUACGUUGACGGUAUUUAACCAGAAAGUCACGGCUAACUACGUGCCAA